UACGUAGGGUGCAAGCGUUAAUCGGAAUUACUGGGCGUAAAGCGUGCGCAGGCGGUUUUGUAAGUCUGUCGUGAAAGCCCCGGGCUCAACCUGGGAAUUGCGAUGGAGACUGCAAGGCUUGAAUCUGGCAGAGGGGUGUAGAAUUCCACGUGUAGCAGUGAAAUGCGUAGAGAUGUGGAGGAACACCGAUGGCGAAGGCAGCCCCCUGGGUCAAGAUUGACGCUCAUGCACGAAAGCGUGGGGAGCAAACAGG
rnacentral:rRNA from 1 species